AGCCAAUGAUGAUUGGUGCUAAGUUAUUUCUGACACCUCUUGUAUGAGAGAAGCCUUUGCUGGCUUCUUUAUGAGCACAUAAAGCAUCAAACUGAGCU